rnacentral:rRNA from 1 species
AUUGAACGCUGGCGGCAGGCCUAACACAUGCAAGUCGAGCGGAUGAAGGGAGCUUGCUCCUGGAUUCAGCGGCGGACGGGUGAGUAAUGCCUAGGAAUCUGCCUGGUAGUGGGGGUUAACUUCCGCAAGCGGCCGCUACUACCGCCUACUUCCUGCGGCGGAAGGAGGGGGUGCCUCGGACCUCCCCCUCUGGGAGGGGCGUAGUCGGGGUUGGCUAGUUGGUGGGGUAAGGGCCUACCAAGCCGAGCAUCGGCAACUGGUCGGAGUGGAUGAUCAGCCACACUGGAACUGAGACGCGGUCCAGACGCCUACGGGAGGCAGCAGUGGGGAAUAUUGGACAGUGGGCGAAAGCCUGAUCCAGCCAUGCCGCGUGUGUGAAGAAGGUCUUCGGAGUGUAAAGCACUUUAAGUUGGGAGGAAGGGCAGUAAGUUAAUACCUUGCUGUUUUGACGGUACCAACAGAAUAAGCACCGGCUAACUUCGUG